UACCCAGACUCCUACGGGAGGCAGCAGUGGGGAAUAUUGCACAAUGGGGGAAACCCUGAUGCAGCGACGCCGCGUGAGCGAUGAAGUAUUUCGGUAUGUAAAGCUCUAUCAGCAGGGAAGAAAAUGACGGUACCUGACUAAGAAGCCCCGGCUAACUACGUGCCAGCAGCCGCGGUAAUACGUAGGGGGCAAGCGUUAUCCGGAUUUACUGGGUGUAAAGGGUGCGUAGGUGGCAUGGCAAGUCAGAAGUGAAAGCCCGGGGCUCAACCCCGCGGACUGCUUUUGAAACUGCCAGGCUGGAGUACAGGAGAGGUAAGCGGAAUUCCUAGUGUAGCGGUGAAAUGCGUAGAUAUUAGGAGGAACACCAGUGGCGAAGGCGGCUUACUGGACUGUAACUGACACUGAGGCACGAAAGCGUGGGGAGCAAACAGGAUUAGAUACCCGUGUAUA
rnacentral:rRNA from 1 species